rnacentral:rRNA from 1 species
AGCCACAGCCAUAUCACCCUGCAGCCCAAGACUAGUUGUCCACUGAAGCUAAGCAGGGUUGAGCCUGGUCAGUACCUGGAUGGGAGACCUCCUAGGAAAACUAGGUUACUGUUGGAA